AUGGCUUAUUAUCUAAACACAAAACUAAUUUUUUUUCUCCACUUACAGGAUAAUCCUGAGGGAAAAACCAUCUAUAUUUCUAUACAAGAAGGGGGAAAUAAUCACACGUUUCAAAGAUACAACACAGGAAAGAAGUAUCUCUUGCAAAUGAGGGCAGCUGGCAGUGUCUGCUUUGUGAGCCCAGCCUGGGGGGAGUGGAGUGCACCUGUAGAGUUUGGAAAUGAAGAACUUACUUCUUCAGUAUGGAUCUUACUUGUGGUAGCAGUUGGGACACUUUUAGUGGCAAUUGUCACAAUUUUAUUCUGCAAAAGGACUGGCUGCUGGAAAGCAGCAUUUCCACAAGUCCCAGAGCCAAAAAAUUCAUUUUGUGGGCUGCCUCAUAAUACAGAGCUGACGGAGAGCAAAAUUCAGGCAAUAACAUCUGAUAAGGAAGAGAUAACAUUAGUUGCUGACAUAUUGAAAUAACAAAAAAAAUGAGGAAUUUGAAAAUGUAAUUCUGAGCUCAGGCAACUGUAUAUUCCUGUGGAAAGUCUGGAAUAAUGUACAGGCUUUCCUCAGUUUCUUCCUUUUCUUGGCAAAACCAGUAGUGAAGCCAAAAGAGAAUGAUACCUCACAUGUAUUUUUUUUAAAUGCUAUUCUAUUAAUUUUAGGUUUAGCUAACUUUGACUGUUUGGGUGACUUGUCCUUUUUGUGAAUAUGAUUGAAAUAUUUCAGUCAAGGAAUUUUAGUUAUAUUUUAAUUUGUUUAAAGAAAAAUAAUGAGUUUGUUUUAUAUUAAAAAGAUUAAGACUGAAU
rnacentral:lncRNA from 14 species